rnacentral:rRNA from 1 species
ACCGUAGGAGACGAACGUUAUCCGGAGUUACUGGGCGUAAAGGGCGUGUAGGCGGUUUGUUAAGUCUGGCGUGAAAGCUCUCGGCUAAACCGGGAGAGGUCGUUGGAUACUGGCGAACUAGAGGAUGGUAGAGGCGUGUGGAAUUCCGGGUGUAGUGGUGAAAUGCGUAGAGAUCCGGAGGAACACCAGUGGCGAAGGCGACACGCUGGGCCAUACCUGACGCUAAAGCGCGACAGCAUGGGGAGCAAACGGG